UACGAAGGGGGCUAGCGUUGCUCGGAAUCACUGGGCGUAAAGCGCACGUAGGCGGAUUGUUAAGUCAGGGGUGAAAUCCUGGAGCUCAACUCCAGAACUGCCUUUGAUACUGGCGAUCUUGAGUCCGGGAGAGGUGAGUGGAACUGCGAGUGUAGAGGUGAAAUUCGUAGAUAUUCGCAAGAACACCAAUAGCGAAGGCAGCUCGCUGGGACGGUACUGACGCUGAGACGCGAAAGCGUGGGGAGCGAACAGG
rnacentral:rRNA from 1 species